GACGAACGCUGGCGGCGUGCUUAACACAUGCAAGUCGAACGCUGAAGCUUGGUGCUUGCUCUGGGUGGAUGAGUGGCGAACGGGUGAGUAAUACGUGAGUAACCUGCCCUUGACUCUGGGAUAAGCCUGGGAAACUGGGUCUAAUACUGGAUACGACAUGCAACUGCAUGGUGCUGUAUGGAAAGGGUUUUACUCGUUUUGGAUGGGCUCACGGCCUAUCAGCUUGUUGGUGAGGUAAUGACAUACCAAGGCGACGACGGGUAGCCGGCCUGAGAGGGUGACCGGCCACACUGGGACUGAGACACGGCCCAGACGCCAACGGGAGGCAGCAGUGGAGAAUAUUGCACAAUGGGGGGAAGCCUGAUGUGGCGACGCCGCGUGAGGGAUGACGGCCUUCGGGGUGUAAACCUCUUUCAGCGCGGAAGAAGCGAGAUUGACGGUACGUGCAGAAGAAGCGCCGGCUAACUACGUG
rnacentral:rRNA from 1 species